rnacentral:rRNA from 1 species
UGGUGGGUAGUUUGACUGGGGCGGUCUCCUCCUAAAGAGUAACGGAGGAGCACGAAGGUUGGCUAAUCCUGGUCGGACAUCAGGAGGUUAGUGCAAUGGCAUAAGCCAGCUUGACUGCGAGCGUGACGGCGCGAGCAGGUGCGAAAGCAGGUCAUAGUGAUCCGGUGGUUCUGAAUGGAAGGGCCAUCGCUCAACGGAUAAAAGGUACUCCGGGGAUAACAGGCUGAUACCGCCCAAGAGUUCAUAUCGACGGCGGUGUUUGGCACCUCGAUGUCGGCUCAUCACAUCCUGGGGCUGAAGUAGGUCCCAAGGGUAUGGCUGUUCGCCAUUUAAAGUGGUACGCGAGCUGGGUUUAGAACGUCGUGAGACAGUUCGGUCCCUAUCUGCCGUGGGCGCUGGAGAACUGAGGGGGGCUGCUCCUAGUACGAGAGGACCGGAGUGGACGCAUCACUGGUGUUCGGGUUGUCAUGCCAAUGGCACUGCCCGGUAGCUAAAUGCGGAAGAGAUAAGUGCUGAAAGCAUCUAAGCACGAAACUUGCCCCGAGAUGAGUUCUCCCUGACUCCUUGAGAGUCCUGAAGGAACGUUGAAGACGACGACGUUGAUAGGCCGGGUGUGUAAGCGCAGCGAUGCGUUGAGCUAACCGGUACUAAUGAACCGUGAGGCUUAACCUUACAACGCCGAAG